GAUGAACGCUGGCGGCGUGCCUAAUACAUGCAAGUCGAGCGAACAGACGAGGAGCUUGCUCCUCUGACGUUAGCGGCGGACGGGUGAGUAACACGUGGAUAACCUACCUAUAAGACUGGGAUAACUUCGGGAAACCGGAGCUAAUACCGGAUAAUAUAUUGAACCGCAUGGUUCAAUAGUGAAAGACGGUUUUGCUGUCACUUAUAGAUGGAUCCGCGCCGCAUUAGCUAGUUGGUAAGGUAACGGCUUACCAAGGCAACGAUGCGUAGCCGACCUGAGAGGGUGAUCGGCCACACUGGAACUGAGACACGGUCCAGACUCCUACGGGAGGCAGCAGUAGGGAAUCUUCCGCAAAGGGCGAAAGCCUGACGGAGCAACGCCGCGUGAGUGAUGAAGGUCUUCGGAUCGUAAAACUCUGUUAUUAGGGAGGAACAAAUGUGUAAGUAACUAUGUACGUCUUGACGGUACCUAAUCAGAAAGCCACGGCUAACUACGUG
rnacentral:rRNA from 1 species